AAUAUUGGGACAUAUAAACAAGGCAACUCUGUUCUGCAAAGUAGCUGUUGACAUUAUAGUUGCGCAGGCUACUCUGCAGAACAGAGUUGUCUUUUUUUGUUGACUCUAGAGAACCUCGGGCCAAUCGCACAUCCCCGUGAUGGCGACUUUGCAUUCGGAUGUCAUCCAUAUCAACUUUUGAUGCCAGUUUCUCCGCCUACCAUGGUGACCAUGGGUAACGGGGAAUCAGGGUUCCAUUCCAUACAGGGACCCUGAGAAACGGCUACCACAUGCAAGGAAGGCAGCAGGCGGGCGAAUGACCCACUCCCGACACGGGAAGGUAGUGA